CGGGAACCGGGAAAGGGAAUAACACUCGAAAUGUAAAUAAGAAAUACUCAAGUUAAUAAAAAAACAAAAAACAAAACAAAACAAAAAAAAUAAUGUAAAACACAAAAAGCUCCUAGCCCAAAACAUACAGGAAAUCCAGGGCACAAUGAGAAGAUCAAACCUAAGGAUAAUUGGUAUAGAAGAAAUUGAAGACUCCCAACUUAAAGGGUCAGUAAAUAUAUUCAACAAAAUUAUAGAAUAAAACUUCCCUAACCUAAAGUAAGAGAUACCCAUAAACAUUCAAGAAGCCUCCAAACUCCAAAAUACAUUGGACCAGAAGAGAAAUUCUGCCCUUCAUAUAAUAGUUAAAAUACCAAAUGCACAAAACAAACAAAGAAUUUUAAAAGCAGUGAGGGAAAAAGAUCAAGUGACUUAUAAAGUCAGACCCAUAAGAAUUACACCAGACUUCUCACCAGAGACUAUGAAAGCCAGAAGAUCUUGAAUAUAUGUCAUACAAACCCUAAGAGAACACAAAUGCCAGCCCAAGUUACUGUAUCCAACAAUAUUUUCAAUUGACAUAGAUGGAAAAAAAAUUCCAUGAAAAAACCAAAUUUACACAAUAAAUUUCUACAAAUCCAGCUCUACAAAGGAUAAUAGAUGGAAAACUCCAAUACAGGGAGUGAAACUACACCGUACAGAAUUCAACAAUAUAAUUUCCUUGCAAUGAAACCAAAAGAGGAACAAAAAAACAUAAUUCCACCUCUAACAACGAAAAUAACAAGAAGCAACAAUCACUAUUCCUUAAUAUCUCUCAACAUCAAUGAACCUAAUUCCCCAAAUAAGAAGACAGAGACUAACAGAAUGGAUACAUAAAUAGGAACCAGCAUUUGCUGCAUGCAGGAAACACACCUCAGAGAAAAAGACAGACACUACCUCAGAGUAAAUGGCUGGAAAACAGCUUUCCAAGCCAAUGGCCUGAAGAAACAAACUGGAGUUGCCAUUCUAAUAUCAAAUAAAAUUGACUUUCAACCGAAAGUCACUAAAAAAGAUAAGGAAUGACACUUCAUAUCCAUCAAAGGAAAAAUCCCCCAAGAAGAACUAUCAAUCCUAAGUAUCUAUGCUCCAAAAACAAGGGCACCUACAUUCAUAAAAGAAACCUUACUAAAAUUCAAAGCACACAUUGUGCCUCACACGAUAAUAGUAGGAGCUUUGAAUACCCCACUCUCGUCACUGGACAGAUCAUGGAAACAGAAAUUAAACAGAAUCAUAGAGAAACUAACAGAAAUUAUGAACCAAAUGGAUUUAACAGAUAUUGAUAGAACAUUCCACCCUAAAACAAAAGGAUGUACCUUCUUCUCAGCAGCUCAUGGAACUUCUCCAAAACUGACCACAAAACAGGCCUCAACAGAUACAGGGAGAUAGAAAUAAUCCCAUGCAUCCUCUCAAGUAAUCACGCACUAAGACUGGUCUUCAAUAACAACAAUAAUGACAGAAAGCCCACAUAUACAUGGAAGUUGAACAAUGCUCUACUCAAUGACAACUUGGUCAAGGAAGAAAUAAAGAAAUUAAAGACUUCUUAGAAUUUAAUGAAAAUGAAGAUACAAGUUCCCAAACUUCUGGGACACAAUGAAAGCAGUACUAAGAGGAAAACUCAUAGUUCUGAGUGCCUGAGGAAAGAAACAGGAAAGAGCAUAUGCCAGCAGGUUGACAGUAUACUUUAAAGCCUAGAACAAAAAUAAAUAAAUAAACGCAAGAGGAGUAGAAUGCAGGAAAUAAUCAAACUCAGUGCUGAAAUAAACCAAGUAGAAAUGCAAAGGACUAUACAAAGCAUCAAGAAAACCAGCAACUGGUGCUUUGAGAAAAUCAACAAAUAAAUAAACCCUUAGCGAGACUAACCAGAGGUCACAGAGAGUGUAUCCAAAUUAACAAAAUCAGAAAUGAAAAGUAAGACAUAACAACAGAAUCUGAAGAAAUUAAAAAAAAUCAUCAGAUCCUACUACAAAAGACUAUAUUCACCAAAACUGGAAAAUGUGUAAGAAACGGACAAUUUUCUGGACAGAUACCAGGUACCAAAGUUAAAUCAGAAACAAAUAAACCAUAUAAUCAACCCCAUAACACCUAAAGAAAUAGAAG
ensembl:lncRNA